rnacentral:rRNA from 1 species
AAAUAUUUAUUAAAAGAUCGCCUGAGGAAAAAAGAUCUCAGCCUAAAUUAAAGAUGACAGGGCUGGUAAAAGCCGCUUAUUUGAUGGCACGGUGAUGUUUGAAAGAAAAGUAGUAACAAGGGUUCCGUAGGUGAACCUGCGGAAGGAUCAUUCAUAAUUUAUUAAAAUGUUCUUCUUGAAUAAAAGUUCAUUGUUAGGGCCUCGGCCUCUAACAAAGUAUACCUAUUUUAUAGGUUUUAAUCGUUACUAAAUAUCCUAAAAAAUUAAUAAAUUUUCAACGAUGGAUAUCUAGGCUCCAAUAACGAUGAAGAACGCAGCGAAGUGCGAUAAGCAAUGCGAAUUGCAGAACCGCGAGUCAUCAGAUUUUUGAACGCAAGUGGCGGCAACUUAGGUUGUCAUGGUUGUUUCAGUGUGUCCGGUUAAUUACAUCAUGGAAUAUAAUGUGAUUGAAGAGAUUCUCUCACAAAAUAUGAAGUAGUGUCAAUGAAGACUCCAAACGAAUUAGUCACUAAAUGGUGAUAAUCGUUUGAGGAUCGGAAUUGGUGAAUCACUGCUUGAUAACUUAUUAUCUCAUUAUGGCACUUGAAAUAAGCAACGAUGACACAAUCCC